GGGAUUUAGCUCAAUCUGGUAGAGCGCUUGCUUUGCAAGCAAGAUGUUAGCGGUUCAAGUCCGCUAAUCUCC
rnacentral:tRNA from 1 species